CAGCCGCCACGGGAAUACGGAGGGUGCAAGCGUUAAUCGGAAUUACUGGGCGUAAAGCGCACGCAGGCGGUCUGACAAGUCAGAUGUGAAAUCCCCGGGCUUAACCUGGGAACUGCAUUUGAAACUGUCAGGCUGGAGUCUUGUAGAGGGGGGUAGAAUUCCAGGUGUAGCGGUGAAAUGCGUAGAGAUCUGGAGGAACACCGAUGGCGAAGGCAGCCCCCUGGGCCAACACUGACGCUCAUGCACGAAAGCGUGGGGAGCAAACAGGAUUAGAGACCCCUGUAGUCCCUGUCUCUUAUAC
rnacentral:rRNA from 1 species